rnacentral:rRNA from 1 species
UAAUGACUUACAACUUUCAGCGGUGGAUGUCUAGGUUCCCACAACGAUGAAGAACGCAGCGAAAUGCGAUACGUAAUGCGAAUUGCAAGACCUCGUGAAUCAUUAAAAUUUUGAACGCACAUUGCGCUUUCGGGAUCUUCCCGGGAGCAUGCUUGUCUGAGUGUCUGUGGAUC